UCAAAUGUUUCAACGGAAGAUCCGAUUUUGUGAGAACUUGGAUAUAUUUCUCCCGUGGUUAAAAGCAGCUUGUCAGGAGUCUUUUCAAUUUCAUUCCACAGUUUUUCAAGACCACGUGUAGAGCGAAAAAGGUCACGGUUGCACAAUACGUACAGACCAUAUGAGCAUGCUGAAAAGGCUUUAUAAAAUGUUUUUGGAUUCCAAUGAUCAGAGGCCUCUUUAGAUUCAACUGUCGUAAAUAUAACAAAGUUUACCCGUUUAUCGCUUGGUAAUUUUUCCACGGUACCUACAAAAGCAGGCUGACCAAAAAACGAGUUAUGAGAACAGCGUACCGAUAUAAUUUCAUUUAAAAGGCUGACUUGACUCUCAUAAAGCGUACAGAUUACAAUUUCGUUGGUGGGAUAACCUAACAUUCGCAUGUACUGGAAUAAGGCAACUGCGUACUCGGCUUCUCCAAGAUUUUGCUUAUAACCGCUAACGGGUUCUGUUUCUUGAGAACCUUUAAAAGCUCCCACAUUAAUAAAUUGGACCUCAUGUGCAAACCCCGAAUUACCAUAAUCAAGUCUUUUAUUGGGACUAGAAUCCACAGUUUUGAUGUCCAAAGGAUAAAUUGAUGAACAUAGAGAACUGAUAGAUUCUCUAACAUUGUAUUGCGUAUUAAGGUCAAUAAUUCUGGAUUUCAAAUACCGCAAACGUUUGAAAAGUGAACCAUUUGACGUAUUAUUUAUAUCCUGAUUCCCAGAGGUAAGAUAUUGAUUACCCAGAAGAACAAGGCGAUCAAAACCAGUUGGUUCACAGUUUGAAAGUAGUAUGCUAGUGAUAGAGCUUUCACUUAUAUUUUGUGAGUUCAUAACAAUUAAAUUGUUAAAGCAAAAUCCCUUUUCUUUCAAAGUCCCUAAGCGUGUACUUAAGCUCGUCCAAGUGCAUCCGAUAAUCCUAGAUUGUUGGCAUAAUGCAUACAAUUCUUGAUCUUCAUAAUAUCUCAGUAAUCCAAAAGGCCGGAUCUCUUCCAGCUGUUGGAACAUAUAUUCUAACUCCCCGUAUAACUUUGUCGCAUAAUCGAAAAAAUUAUCUUUAUUAUACGUUUCUAUCGGACGCUUAGAUUUGUCACCGAAAUACGAAUGGAAAGGGAACCUGUUAUAGGCAUCCACAGAAUCCUUAUCAUCUACCGUGUUCAAGUACUUUUCCCAAAGUCGCUUAAUAUAAGCAUCCCUAAAAUACAAAGCCGUAUCUGGGCUGGCGUCAUGAGAACCUGGAGCCUGGAUUGAAGCAGCUAGGCGACCGAUUUCUCGUAGAAGACCAGGAAGCUUAGAUAUCCAAGACGAUAAAGUACCAUAACGUUCCAACGUUUCGUCUUUUCCUUCAUCAGAUAGAUAUAAUAGGUGCCCUUGGUGAAAACAUCUAGCUUUUUCCAGUAAGGUAAACAAAGUAUUCAUAGAGAAAUUGGAGUCAGAAAGUACAACGGUUCUAUCAUUGGGAGAUGUGUCUUGUAAAACCUCUAGAAGUUUGCAUACCAAAACAUGUUUUCCACAACGAGUUGGACC